rnacentral:rRNA from 1 species
UACGGGGGGGGCAAGCGUUGUUCGGAAUUACUGGGCGUAAAGGGCUUGUAGGUGGCCAACUAAGUCAGACGUGAAAUCCCUCGGCUUAACCGGGGAACUGCGUCUGAUACUGGAUGGCUGGAGUGUGGGAGAGGGAUGCAGAAUUCCAGGUGUAGCGGUGAAAUGCGUAGAUAUCUGGAGGAAUACCGGUGGCGAAGGCGGCAUCCUGGACCGGCAUUGACGCUGAGUGAGCGAAAGCUAGGGGAGCAAACGGG